rnacentral:rRNA from 1 species
GCGAGGAAACCCGCUGAACUUAAGCAUAUCACUAAGCGGAGAAAGAACCC